AUUGAACGCUGGCGGCAGGCUUAACACAUGCAAGUCGAGCGAGCGGCGGACGGGUGAGUAAUGUCUGGGAAACUGCCUGAUGGAGGGGGAUAACUACUGGAAACGGUAGCUAAUACCGCAUACCAUCAGAUGUGCCCAGAUGGGAUUAGCUAGUAGGUGGGGUAAUGGCUCACCUAGGCGACGAUCCCUAGCUGGUCUGAGAGGAUGACCAGCCACAGUGGAACGGAGACACGGUCGAGACUCCUACGGGAGGCAGCAGUGGGGAAUAGUGCACAAUGGGCGCAAGCCUGAUGCAGCCAUGCGGAGGUUGGGAAGAAGGCCUUCGGGUUGUAAAGCACGUUCAGCGAGGAGGCGUGACUCGCAGAAGAAGCACCGGCUAACUACGUGCCAGCAGCCGCGGUAAUU
rnacentral:rRNA from 1 species